rnacentral:rRNA from 1 species
UGGCGACCGGCGCACGGGUGAGUAACGCGUAUGCAACUUGCCUAUCAGAGGGGGAUAACCCGGCGAAAGUCGGACUAAUACCGCAUGAAGCAGGGGCCCCGCAUGGGGAUAUUUGCUAAAGAUUCAUCGCUGAUAGAUAGGCAUGCGUUCCAUUAGGCAGUUGGCGGGGUAACGGCCCACCAAACCGACGAUGGAUAGGGGUUCUGAGAGGAAGGUCCCCCACAUUGGUACUGAGACACGGACCAAACUCCUACGGGAGGCAGCAGUGAGGAAUAUUGGUCAAUGGCCGAGAGGCUGAACCAGCCAAGUCGCGUGAGGGAUGAAGGUUCUAUGGAUCGUAAACCUCUUUUAUAAGGGAAUAAAGUGCGGGACGUGUCCCGUUUUGUAUGUACCUUAUGAAUAAGGAUCGGCUAACUCCGUGCCAGCAGCCGCGGUAAUACGGAGGAUCCGAGCGUUAUCCGGAUUUAUUGGGUUUAAAGGGUGCGUAGGCGGCCUUUUAAGUCAGCGGUGAAAGUCUGUGGCUCAACCAUAGAAUUGCCGUUGAAACUGGGGGGCUUGAGUAUGUUUGAGGCAGGCGGAAUGCGUGGUGUAGCGGUGAAAUGCAUAGAUAUCACGCAGAACCCCGAUUGCGAAGGCAGCCUGCCAGCCAUUACUGACGCUGAUG